GAUGAACGCUGGCGGCGUGCCUAAUACAUGCAAGUCGAGCGGACAGAUAAGGAGCUUGCUCCUUUGACGUUAGCGGCGGACGGGUGAGUAACACGUGGGUAACCUACCUAUAAGACUGGAAUAACUCCGGGAAACCGGGGCUAAUGCCGGAUAACAUUUAGAACCGCAUGGUUCUAAAGUGAAAGAUGGUUUUGCUAUCACUUAUAGAUGGACCCGCGCCGUAUUAGCUAGUUGGUAAGGUAACGGCUUACCAAGGCAACGAUACGUAGCCGACCUGAGAGGGUGAUCGGCCACACUGGAACUGAGACACGGUCCAGACUCCUACGGGAGGCAGCAGUAGGGAAUCUUCCGCAAUGGGCGAAAGCCUGACGGAGCAACGCCGCGUGAGUGAUGAAGGUCUUCGGAUCGGAAAACUCUGUUAUUAGGGAAGAACAAAUGUGUAAGUAACUGUGCACGUCUUGACGGUACCUAAUCAGAAAGCCACGGCUAACUACGUG
rnacentral:rRNA from 1 species